UACGUAGGGGGCAAGCGUUGUCCGGAAUCAUUGGGCGUAAAGCGCGUGUAGGCGGUUCGGUAAGUCUGCUGUGAAAGUCCAGGGCUCAACCCUGGGAUGCCGGUGGAUACUGUCGGGCUCGAAUCCGGAAGAGGUGAGUGGAAUUCCUGGUGUAGCGGUGAAAUGCGCAGAUAUCAGGAGGAACACCAAUGGCGAAGGCAGCUCACUGGGACGGUAUUGACGCUGAGACGCGAAAGCGUGGGGAGCAAACAGG
rnacentral:rRNA from 1 species